GAAGAUGGGAGUAUCACAACCUGAAUGUGCAGCUUAUGUAGUUUCCGUAUUUUUGUUAGCUCCACUUGUCUAUUUAUAGAGAAACUUUUGUUUAAAUAAACCGAGCAAAUAAACCAAACGGUGCGAACACAUUCUGUUCUGAAAUUUGUCUACUCCACUUGUUUGAUUGUACUGAAACCUUUGUUUGCAUGUUUCUAAAAUACAGAGAAGAACACCCUGUGUUCUGGUAAAAUAUUUGUUGGCUAUGAUAUGAAAUUCCAUGAUGUGUGUGUUGUUUCAGUUUCUGUAGCUACAACCAAGUCCCAGUUUACUCUGUACUUGCUGCUGAUGAUUGCUGGUUAAAUUUACAGUUGAAAUAACAGUAGCCAAGGAGUAGAUACAAGACGUAUUUACCGUAUUUUGCAUGGAAUGUUCAAAAUCAGGUUUGUUGUGGUUUCUUGUUCUCUGAGUCAAAUUGCAUAAGAUGGGAGUAUCACAACAUGGAUAUACUGAAUAUGGGAGUAUCACAACCUGAAUGUGCAGCUUAUGUAGUUUCUUUAUCUUUGUUAAAGCAUGGAGUAGCUUCUAUAGUUUUGUUAAAAAUUAUCUUGGUCUCUGGCUGAUUUGAGUACUACCAAGGGAUGCAUAUUGAACUUUCCUUGCGGAUCAGAGCCUAUAGGAGAAUUCUACUGUGACAACAAAUUAACUUGUCUUGAAUUACUUCUUUUACUGGAUGUUCAGAAUGUUCAAUUAACUGAUUUGCACCUGUUUAUGUUUAUUUUGUCAACUUCUUAUGUUAACUUGUCU
rnacentral:lncRNA from 1 species